AUUGAACGCUGGCGGCAGGCCUAACACAUGCAAGUCGAGCGAGUGGCGGACGGGUGAGUAAUGUCUGGGGAACUGCCCGAUAGAGGGGGAUAACUACUGGAAACGGUAGCUAAUACCGCAUACCAUCGGAUGUGCCCAUAUGGGAUUAGCUAGUAGGUGGGGUAACGGCUCACCUAGGCGACGAUCCCUAGCUGGUCUGAGAGGAUGACCAGCCACACUGGAACUGAGACACGGCCCAGACUCCUACGGGAGGCAGCAGUGGGGAAUAUUGCACAAUGGGCGCAAGCCUGAUGCAGCCAUGCCGCGUGUAUGAAGAAGGCCUUCGGGUUGUAAAGUACUUUCAGCGGGGAGGCGUUACCCGCAGAAGAAGCACCGGCUAACUCCGUGCCAGCAGCCGCGGUAAUUC
rnacentral:rRNA from 1 species